rnacentral:rRNA from 1 species
UACAGAGGGUGCAAGCGUUAAUCGGAAUUACUGGGCGUAAAGCGUGCGUAGACGGUAGCGUAAGUCGGGUGUGAAAGCCCCGGGCUCAACCUGGGAAUUGCAUUCGAGACUGCUCUGCUAGGGCGCGGAAGAGGGAAGCGGAAUUUCCGGUGUAGCGGUGAAAUGCGUAGAUAUCAAGUGGAACACCAGUGGCGAAGGCGAGUCUCUGGACAUUUCCUGACGCUGAGGCACGAAAGCCAGGGGAGCAAACGGG